rnacentral:lncRNA from 1 species
UAAAAAGUCUAUCCCAAUCCUUGGGGUUUUUUUUAAAAAGUCUAUCCCAAUCUUUGGGAAUUUUAAAAAAGUCGAUGCCUGAAAGCCUGGCUCCUUGAGGGAUCGACUUUUUCCUUGGAAGAAAAAGUCGAACUUCAAAAAGUCGAUCCCUAGUGCACUUAGAGGAUUCCUUAGAAGUCGAUGCCUGAAAGCCUGGCUCCUUGAGGGAUCGACUUUUUUUCCUGGAAGAAAAAGUCGAUCUUCAAAAAGUCGAUCCCUAGUGCACUUGGAGGAUUCCUUGGAAGUUGAUGCCUGAAAGCAUAGCUCCUUGAGGGAUCGACUUUUUUUCCUUGGAAGAAAAAGUCGAUCUUCUGAAAUGUCGAUCCCUUGCUGGCUGAUUUCCUCGCGAGACUCCCUAGCUGGCGACUUGGAAAAAAGUCGAUCACUUUUUUCGAAAAAGUCGAGGAGCUUUUGUCGUGAGUAUCUUUGAGUCACAGACGGCGCCAACUGAUGGGGGUGAAACCCGACCAGUACUCCAAGACGCGCAAGCAAGCGCCAAGC